CAAUAGCGUAUAUUAAAGUUGUUGCAGUUAAAAAGCUCGUAGUUGGAUUUCUGGUGGGAGCGAUCGGUCUGGCGCUUAGCGCGAGUACUUGCAUCGUCUCCGGCCAUCCUUGGGGAGAGUCUGUCUGGCAUUAGGUUGUCGGGCAGAGGAUCCUCAUCGUUUACUGUGAAAAAAUUAGAGUGUUCAAAGCAGGCUUAUGCCGUUGAAUAUAUUAGCAUGGAAUAAUAAGAUAGGACUUUGGUACUAUUUUGUUGGUUUGCGCACCAAAGUAAUGAUUAAUAGGGACAGUUGGGGGUAUUCGUAUUCCGUUGUCAGAGGUGAAAUUCUUGGAUUUACGGAAGACGAACUACAGCGAAAGCAUUUACCAAGGAUGUUUUCAUUAA
rnacentral:rRNA from 1 species